UACGUAGGGUCCAAGCGUUAUCCGGAAUCACUGGGCGUAAAGCGUGCGUAGGCGGAUGUUUAAGUGUGAUGUUAAAUCGUGGGGCUCAACCCUGUCGUUGCAUCGCAUACUGGGCAUCUAGAGGACGGCAGAGGCAAGUGGAACUCGUAGUGUAGCAGUGAAAUGCGUAGAUAUUACGAAGAACACCAAUGGCGAAGGCAGCUGCUGGGCCGACCCUGACGCUGAGGUACGGAAAGCGUGGGAG
rnacentral:rRNA from 1 species